UGUGAAUUGCAGAAUUCAGUGAAUCAUCGAAUCUUUGAACGCACAUUGCGCCCCUUGGUAUUCCGGGGGGCAUGCCUGUUCGAGCGUCAUU
rnacentral:rRNA from 1 species